rnacentral:rRNA from 1 species
ACNGCGGAAAGAUAUUACCGAGUGAGGGCUGCCUCCGGGCGCCCAACCUCCCACCCGUGAAUACCUUACCACUGUUGCUUCGGCGAGGAGCCCCUUCCGGGGGGCGAGUCGCCGGGGACCACAUGAACUUCUUGAUUGUAGAGUUGCGUCUGAGCCUGAAAUAUAAAUCAGUCAAAACUUUCAACAAUGGAUCUCUUGGUUCCGGCAUCGAUGAAGAACGCAGCGAACUGCGAUAAGUAAUGUGAAUUGCAGAAUUCAGUGAAUCAUCGAGUCUUUGAACGCACAUUGCGCCCCCUGGCAUUCCGGGGGGCAUGCCUGUCCGAGCGUCAUUGCUGCCCUUCAAGCCCGGCUUGUGUGUUGGGUCGUCGUCCCCUCCGGGGGACGGGCCCGAAAGGCAGCGGCGGCACCGCGUCCGGUCCUCGAGCGUAUGGGGCUUUGUCACCCGCUCGAUAAGGACCGGCCGGGCGCCAGCCGGCGUCUCCAACCUUUUUUUCUCAGGUUGACCUCGGAUCAGGUAGGGAUACCCGCUGAACUUAAGCAUAUCAAUAAGNCGGAGGAA